rnacentral:rRNA from 1 species
AUACGGAGGAUGCGAGCGUUAUCCGGAUUUAUUGGGUUUAAAGGGUGCGUAGGCGGUCGGGUAAGCGUAGGGUGAAAGUCCUCUGCUCAACAGAGGAAGUGCCUUCCGAACUGUCCGACUGGAAUGCUCCUGCCGUGGGAGGAAUGUGUGGUGUAGCGGUGAAAUGCAUAGAGAUCACACAGAACACCGAUUGCGAAGGCAUCUCACGAAGGGGCUAUUGACGCUGAGGCACGAAAGCGGGGGGAUCAAACAGGGUUAGAUACCCUGGUAGUCCACGCAGUAAACGAUGAUGACUAACCGUCGGUCAAGACUGAUCGGUGGCCAAGCGAAAGCGAUAAGUCAUCCACCUGGGGAGUACGACCGCAAGGUUGAAACUCAAAUGAAUUGACGGGG